CAGCAGCCACGGGAAUACGGAGGGUGCAAGCGUUAAUCGGAAUUACUGGGCGUAAAGCGUGCGUAGGCGGUCCGUUAAGUCUGUUGUGAAAGCCCCGGGCUCAACCUGGGAAUGGCAAUGGAUACUGGCGAGCUAGAGUGUGUCAGAGGAUGGUGGAAUUCCCGGUGUAGCGGUAAAAUGCGUAGAGAUCGGGAGGAACAUCAGUGGCGAAGGCGGCCAUCUGGGACAACACUGACGCUGAGGCACGAAAGCGUGGGGAGCAAACAGGAUUAGAUACCCCGGUAGUCCCUGUCUCUUAUAA
rnacentral:rRNA from 1 species